GACGAACGCUGGCGGCGUGCUUAACACAUGCAAGUCGAACGAUGAAGCCGGAGCUUGCUCUGGUGAAUUAGUGGCGAACGGGUGAGUAACACGUGAGUAACCUGCCCUUGACUCUGGGAUAACUGCUAGAAAUGGUAGCUAAUACCGGAUACGACCCUCGGAGGCAUCUCCAGGGGGUGGAAAGAAUUUCGGUCAAGGAUGGACUCGCGGCCUAUCAGCUAGUUGGUGAGGUAACGGCUCACCAAGGCGACGACGGGUAGCCGGCCUGAGAGGGUGACCGGCCACACUGGGACUGAGACACGGCCCAGACUCCUACGGGAGGCAGCAGUGGGGAAUAUUGCACAAUGGGCGCAAGCCUGAUGCAGCAACGCCGCGUGAGGGAUGACGGCCUUCGGGUUGUAAACCUCUUUUAGUAGGGAAGAAGCGAAAGUGACGGUACCUGCAGAAAAAGCACCGGCUAACUACGUGCCAGCAGCCGCGGUAA
rnacentral:rRNA from 1 species